UGCUUGUAGAUUCUUAUAACAUUAUGGAAAGGGUGUGUUUGGAGCUUGUCAAGCCUUAGUUUGUAGAAACCUUAAUGAGUAUUUUGGAUUUUUUAUGGGAUUGUCAAAUUUUCAUGGGUUUAUAUAUGUACUCAUACAUUAGGUAGUGCGAAGACUUAGCACGACUCUAACGUCAUAAGCUUGGAUUUACAUCUACAUCAUCAAAAAUUACUUUUAGGUAUAUUCUUGUGAAAGUAUUUGAUUGAGAUUGAGAUUGGUUUAUUAAUUUGAGUGCCUCUGAUUAUCCGCUUGUGACCCAGGAUGGUAAGUUUUGAUUGGUUUAUUGGGGUUUUUUGGAUUUGGGUUUGUUUAUUUAGGUUUUGUGAUGUUUGAUUGUAAAUAUGUUGCUCAUGUUCUCGUAUUUUCCGAGGGAUCUGGACUUUAUUGAUCAUACUAGCAACAUGGGAUGGAAAGAGUUUCAGAGGGCAAAGCUGGUGACAAUUGAUCUAGGGCUAUACAUUUCGAAGAAGCAGGAUAUGUUCUGGAUUACUCAGCGGAGGAGUGUGCCCACUGCCUUUAAACUCUUUACAGG